rnacentral:rRNA from 1 species
CCUACGGGAGGCAGCAGUGGGGAAUAUUGCACAAUGGGGGAAACCCUGAUGCAGCGACGCCGCGUGAGUGAAGAAGUAUUUCGGUAUGUAAAGCUCUAUCAGCAGGGAAGAAAAUGACGGUACCUGAGUAAGAAGCCCCGGCUAACUACGUGCCAGCAGCCGCGGUAAUACGUAGGGGGCAAGCGUUAUCCGGAUUUACUGGGUGUAAAGGGAGCGUAGACGGCAGCACAAGUCUGUAGUGAAAUGCCGGGGCUUAACCCCGGAACUGCUUUGGAAACUGUGCAGCUAGAGUGCAGGAGAGGUAAGUGGAAUUCGUAGUGGAGCGGUGAAAUGCGUAGAUAUUAGGAGGAACACCAGUGGCGAAGGCGGCUUACUGGACUGUAACUGACGUUGAGGCUCGAAAGCGUGGGGAGCAAACAGGAUUAGAUACCCGAGUAGUC